UUAAAAAUCUACCUGACCCCUAUAUCUUUGAGAAAAUGAUUGAACCAUUGGUCAAUAACCAAUGUUCUCAAAAUAGAUAGGCGAAUGGCCUUCUAUUAUAGAAAAUCGUGAUUGCUAAGAAGAAACUUAAACUCAGUAUGAAUUCUAACCCUUCACUAGCUGGUCCAUUGGUCUCGAUUGCGUAGAUCAAUUUCACAGCCACUUU
rnacentral:lncRNA from 1 species